CCUACUUUUAAAAACGUCCCUUGCAUUUUGACUACAGGUCAGAGACCAACCAGGAUCCAACAAAUAGUUCCUGAAUGCCUAGAACUCUCUACUAGGCAUGGAAACAAAUAAAAGGCACUACCCUUCCUUAGAAAAAUUAUAAGCAAGUUGGAAAAGAAACUGCAAACUGGACUGUAUCUUGCUGGAACAAAUGAAAACCCAAAAGGGGCAGGAUGGUGGUACACUCAGUUCUGAAAUUAUACCCUGUUUGGAGUGAGACCCAAGGGACUCUUAAUGAAAGAUGAACAGUCGCAAGACGAAAGGAGUGUGUCACCAAAUAUGGAAUAAUGGACUAAGUGCAUGCCAGUAUUUGGUGAUAGGAGAUCCAGGGCACAGAGCAAACGGGGGUCAUCAUUCGUAGUAAAUAAGAGUUGAUGGUUGGUUUUUGAAUUCAAGGACAGAGAGAGGCCUAACUAUAAACUGUGUAUCCUCCAUUAAAUCAAAGCAAAGUCAGUAACAGUACAUUAAAACCAU